GGCGGUGAAGCUGGGCUCUACCAGUACCUCGUGGACCAUUGCGACGCUCACGUAAUUUCAUCGGUAAACGAAACGUAAAACAUUCCGUAUUUACGUUGGUCUAACUGUUUGGUGAGCGUUUGUGGCAGUUUCCCGGAAUUACUUUUACUCGUAUUGCUAGUGAUAAAAUGGACAAUGAGAAAAGGAUUUUCAUUUCUGUAUUGUGAACGGUACCACAAAUCGAAGUGGAAUUAGACUUAGUGGAUCUACAGAAAGAAAAUAAUUCGAUGGAUUUCCUAGAUUUUCAUUAAUGGAAAUGGCGCGUUUUCGAAACAAAGGUGACGACAACAAACAUUGCGUGCGAUAUUUAGCGGCUCACAUUGCAGUACAUUAAAUUUUAUUUUACUGUCGCUUUGGUUUAAUGGUAUGUAAAAUCAAUGGAUUUAUGUCCGCCUAACAAAGGCACAACAUCGUUACAUGAAGUGAACUGAACAAUCGUAUAUUAAUACCAUCCCGUGCGACAAGUACUUAUCUAAUCCAUAUAUUGCAACCAUUCGGUCGACAAUUCAAUGUAGAUUAAUUGAUUAUAAGAAAUUUAUGGGCUCCAUAGAGUUUAUGUGCGCGCUCGAAUUACGAUAAACUGUUUUUUUGGGAGAAAAAGCAUGAUUCUGUGAAAGUGUUUCAACAUGACCGCCUAUGGAGCACCACUUUUAUUAAGUAACGGUUAGUAACCAUUUGUGACAUUAUGGAAGUAGGCAACUGGAUAUUCUUUGGGUUUAUUAUUCUACAUCUACUAUUAACCUCAAUGGCAACCGAAGAAGAAAAGCGUCGCUUUUAGCCACAAUCAACGCAGAACUACGUUUCGUUGAAGAAUUUAUUCGCUUUUUGCGAAUUCCAUUGCCUUUUUA